AGAGCGAACGCUGGCGGCAGGCCUAACACAUGCAAGUCGAGCGCCCCGCAAGGGGAGCGGCAGACGGGAGAGUAACACGUGGGAACGUACCCUUCAGUUCGGAACAACCCAGGGAAACUUGGGCUAAUACCGAAUACGUCCGUAAGGAGAAAGAUUUAUCGCUGAAGGAUCGGCCCGCGUCUGAUUAGCUAGUUGGUGAGGUAACGGCUCACCAAGGCUACGAUCAGUAGCUGGUCUGAGAGGAUGAUCAGCCUCACUGGGACUGAGACACGGCCCAGACUCCUACGGGAGGCAGCAGUGGGGAAUAUUGGACAAUGGGCGCAAGCCUGAUCCAGCCAUGCCGCGUGGAUGAUGAAGGCCUUAGGGUUGUAAAGUCCUUUCGGACGGGGAAGAUAAUGACGGUACCCGUAGAAGAAGCCCCGGCUAACUUCGUGCCAGCAGCCGC
rnacentral:rRNA from 1 species